rnacentral:tmRNA from 1 species
GCCCUUUUCAUAUCGCCCUGUGGCGCCUAUAUAGGGUGUGCCGGCUUCGACCGGCUAUGGCGAUAAAUUGUGCCGUGUAAUAGAUGCAGCGGACCCGGGGGCAGUACCCGGCGGCUCCACCAUAUUCCCUGAUCGCUCAGGGCAUCUGACGGGGCCGAACCAGGAUCGACGUGUAUUCAAAGACGGUGUUUUCGCUCAGGCUGAGUAACCUGUUCAAGGCUCAAAACCGAUAAGUGCCAACGAUAACGAAGCACUUGCUCUUGCAGCGUAAUUGAGGGCCUCACGGCCUGACAUUACCCUAACAGAACGCGGCUGGGCCAGCCGGGCAACAGAAUGGAUUCCAGCGGUUUGGAUGGCACCGGGCAACAGAAGCCAUCCACC